UACAGAGGGUGCGAGCGUUGUCCGGAAUCACUGGGCGUAAAGAGCUCGUAGGCGGUCUGUCGCGUCUGCUGUGAAAACCUGGGGCUUAACCCCGGGCCUGCAGUGGGUACGGGCAGACUAGAGUGUGGUAGGGGAGACUGGAAUUCCUGGUGUAGCGGUGAAAUGCGCAGAUAUCAGGAGGAACACCAGCGGCGAAGGCGGCGAUCUGGGCCAGUACUGACGCUGAGGAGCGAAAGCGUGGGGAGCGAACAGG
rnacentral:rRNA from 1 species